rnacentral:tRNA from 1 species
GCCUGGGUGGCUCAGUCAGUUAAGCAUCUGACUUCGGCUCGGGUCAUGAUCUCACAGCUUGUGGGUUCAAGCCCCACAUCGGGCU